AAGAGAGGAAGCAUGGCAGGAGGGAGGGGAGAAGAAAGAGGGAGGAGGAAAAAGACAGAAACCUUGGAAAUGCCGUGGUUAUAAAUUAUCCUUCUUCUAUCAGCUGACUCUGUCUGAGACCAGGCUUCCUCAGGAGAGUCUGGCGUUUCACAUGCAGAGCAUGCAGCACCCUGCAAAACGAUUAUCACGUUACUCCCUGCUGCCUUCUCCGCUCCCGCAGGCUGCGAACAGACCCAAGUGUAAUCCUGUCUUUUGCAGCCCAGAUGACUUUAGUCGAGAAAAUACCAACGGGCUGGGGAAGAGAGAAUGUGCGCGCGGGUGAGGGAUAUGACCAGAAGUGCUUCUGCGGGGGCUCUGCACAGAGAGAUGGAGGUGAAUCCAUUUUAAGGGAAGCUGUAGAUGAGUUAACAGUAGCUUCCAUUUCCAGGAGAGGCAAGGUGCAUCUUUAAUUCCUGCUGAGGAGAAAAAUAGGAUGGCUGAAAACAGCUCAUGCACCCACAUUCACCUGUGCUGUAAUUCUGCAGGUGGCACAACUUCAGAGUGAGACAAUUUGUAACAUGGCCCAUAUCCUGUGAAUAUGAGGACAUUUUUGUGUUCUUCUUUAGCAGGGACAAGAACAGCUCAAGGUGACUUCAAAGCUCCCUUAUGCUGAGAAAGGUCUACCAAUGCUUCUGUAGUUAUGGAAGCAGACAGCUGGAUGGAGCCCACAGUCUGUGUCACACUGAAUGACCAUUUCCCUCUAUGCAUUUGGGCUUUUAUUAAAAUACAAAAGAAAAAUGAUUGUGUCCUUCCUCCUUGCAGAGAAAUGCCUUUGAACCUCAACUGAUGCACAUGGAGAUCUGAUAACAGUUGCCUAAGCAUCCACGAUGCCUUGCCAGCACACGCACAUCAAGCUGAUGCGAAGGGACUGCGCCUGGGGGUUUGUCCCAUGAGUUACCUAACGCAGACCAAGACCGAGAGCUUACAGCCCAGCCGCCGUUCCCGAGUAACUCCUCGUGGGGACCCUCAUGUUUUUGGUUGCAUUAACUUAGCCUGAAGCAGAGAGAUUAACUCUACAUGGAGGAGCCCUCCUGAGGAGGAAAAGCUGUCCCCCAGCACUCACUGAAGGGCCCCUUGAGGAGGUGGGCUUUUGCAGGCAGUGGUCCCUGUUGCGGGACGUUUACUCUCAAGCCUGUUGCGAUGGGUACUGGGGAGUUUCCAAGCACUGUGCAGCGGUGUGGUAUGUAAGUGGCAGAAUUAUUUUGUAGGAAGUGGUGACUAAGUGCUGUCUUACGAUGGAGUUGAACGGGUGACCUAGGAGGGUAUUUCAGAUUCCUGUGAGUCCUUGCGAUUUCCCUGAUAAUGUAUUGAGAGAAGAACAACUUACCUUUUCUAAGCCUUUUGCUCUUAUUUCCCUCAAAUAUUUAUAAGAUGGUAGUUAUUUACUCUAACUAGCAUAAUUACUGAUAGAACAUAAACCAUAAGCCAAGGUUACUCUAAACAGUGGGACUCUGAUCCAUUUUCCCCAGAGCACCUCAAAGCAUCGCAGUGCAUUCCUCAUUUCUUCAAGAGAUCCUAUAGUUCCUACUCUUCUCCCAGUCAUGAACGCCAUGGUAUGCUAAGGCAAUCUGUAAAAUCAUUUAGCAGACCUCAGUAAAAGCAAGAGGACUUCGCUAAAAUUACCCAGCAAGCUUGGUAAACCCACAUAAGUUUUGGUGAAAUUACUCAGUAAACUCUUUAAAAAGAAAAAAAAAAUGUGGAUUUUGAUAUAAUUACUUAUUGGAUCUCCAUCCAAAACUGAGUAGAUCAGUAAGAAACCUUCAUACUUCAGGGCAUAUGGUGAUUGCUUAGUGAAGACAGAAAGGAAUUCCCUCUGCCCUUGAAAGCUCACACCUCAACUGCCUGUUGACAGCUGGACUUUGGUUUUUAGAUUUGAAGAGGACAACUUACAAUAAAUACCUUAAGACGUUAGAGACCUUUGUUAAACUUAGGUGCAAUUGCACUUUAAGGGAACCAUUUCUCCACCAUUCAACUCCACUUAAAAAAAUAUUCAAUGAUCUAUGACUAAGUUUGUGCAUUAAAGCUGGUCUAAAAUACCUCUUCCUGGGUGACGAUGGGAUAUUUUAUUUCUUAACUAACUCAUCAUUUGACCAAAAAGAUCAUGAAAACCUGACAGAUCUGUGCAUUGUUUGCGGCCCUGUGGAGUCAUAAGACAGAUAAAUUGUUCUCUCUGCUGAA